UGGGGAAUAUUGGACAAUGGGCGAAAGCCUGAUCCAGCCAUGCCGCGUGUGUGAAGAAGGUCUUCGGAUUGUAAAGCACUUUAAGUUGGGAGGAAGGGCAUUAACCUAAUACGUUAGUGUUUUGACGUUACCGACAGAAUAAGCACCGGCUAACUCUGUGCCAGCAGCCGCGGUAAUACAGAGGGUGCAAGCGUUAAUCGGAAUUACUGGGCGUAAAGCGCGCGUAGGUGGUUUGUUAAGUUGGAUGUGAAAUCCCCGGGCUCAACCUGGGAACUGCAUUCAAAACUGACUGACUAGAGUAUGGUAGAGGGUGGUGAAAUUUCCUGUGUAGCGGUGAAAUGCGUAGAUAUAGGAAGGAACACCAGUGGCGAAGGCGACCACCUGGACUAAUACUGACACUGAGGUGCGAAAGCGUGGGGAGCAAACA
rnacentral:rRNA from 1 species